rnacentral:rRNA from 1 species
UACGGGGGGGGCAAGCGUUGUUCGGAAUUACUGGGCGUAAAGGGCUCGUAGGUGGCCAACUAAGUCAGACGUGAAAUCCCUCGGCUUAACCGGGGAACUGCAUCUGAUACUGGUUGGCUUGAGUUUGGGAGAGGGAUGCGGAAUUCCAGGUGUAGCGGUGAAAUGCGUAGAUAUCUGGAGGAACACCGGUGGCGAAGGCGGCAUCCUGGACCAACACUGACACUGAGGAGCGAAAGCCAGGGGAGCAAACGGG